rnacentral:tRNA from 1 species
GCCUGCUUGGCUCAGCUGGUAGAUCACGGGACUCUUGAUCUCAGGGUUAUGGGCUCGAGCCCCACAGUGGGUG